rnacentral:rRNA from 1 species
GACGAACGCUGGCGGCGUGCUUAACACAUGCAAGUCGAACGAAGUGGCGAACGGGUGAGUAACGCGUAAUUAACCUGCCCUUCAGGGGGGGACAACAGUUGGAAACGACUGCUAAUACCGCAUACUGAAGGAGGGGAUUGCGUCGGAUUAGCUAGUUGGAGGGGUAACGGCCCACCAAGGCGAUGGUCAGUAGCCGGGUUGGGAGGAUGAACGGCCAAAUUGGGACUGAGAAACGGCCCAGACUCCCACGGGAGGCAGAAGUGGGGAAGCUUCCGCAAUGGACGAAAGUCUGACGGAGCAACGCCGCGGGAGUGAUGACGGCCUUCGGGUUGUAAAGCUCUGUUAAGCGGGACGCGGUACCGGAAUAGAAAGCCACGGCUAACUACGUGCCAGCAGCCGCGGUAAUUC